rnacentral:rRNA from 1 species
UACGAAGGGGGCUAGCGUUGCUCGGAAUCACUGGGCGUAAAGGGUGCGUAGGCGGGUCUUAAGUCAGGGGUGAAAUCCUGGAGCUCAACUCCAGAACUGCCUUUGAUACUGACGGUCUUGAGUCCGGGAGAGGUGAGUGGAACUGCGAGUGUAGAGGUGAAAUUCGUAGAUAUUCGCAAGAACACCAGUGGCGAAGGCGGCUCACUGGCCCGAUACUGACGCUGAGGCACGAAAGCGUGGGGAGCAAAGCAGG